CCUACGGGUGGCAGCAGUGAGGAAUAUUGGUCAAUGGACGCAAGGCUGAACCAGCCAAGCCGCGUGAAGGACGAAGGUGCCAAGCAUUGUAAACUUCUUUUGUCAAGGGACAAAAUCAGGCUCGAGAGCCUGACCGAGGGUACUUGAAGAAAAAGCAUCGGCUAACUCCGUGCCAGCAGCCGCGGUAAUACGGAGGAUGCGAGCGUUAUCCGGAUUUAUUGGGUUUAAAGGGUGCGUAGGCGGACGGUUAAGUCAGCGGUAAAAGCCCGGGGCUCAACCCCGGCGAGCCGUUGAAACUGGCUGUCUAGAGAUGUCGAGAGGUAUGCGGAAUGCGCAGUGUAGCGGUGAAAUGCUUAGAUAUUGCGCAGAACUCCGAUUGCGAAGGCAGCAUACCGGCGGCGAUCUGACGCUGAGGCACGAAAGCGUGGGUAUCGAACAGGAUUAGAUACCCCAGUAGUC
rnacentral:rRNA from 1 species